rnacentral:lncRNA from 1 species
GUUUAAGUUCUCUGGCUUUCUCUCAUUAUUUAAGUUCUCAUCACUGCAACUGAAAACUCUACAAAGUGCAGACUCCUGCAAAAUAUCCAACCAAACCAGCAAUUCACUUGCGUGUUUGACAAGACUGAAGCAACAAAUUAUCAGGUAUUGGAAUAGAGACUUUGUUUAUGUUCUCUGGCUUUCUCUCAUUAUUUAAGUUCUCAUGACUGCAACUGAAAACUCUACAAAGUGCAGACUCCUGCAAAAUAUCCAACCAAACCAGCAAUUCACUUGCGUGUUUGACAAGACUGAAGCAACAAAUUAUCAGGUAUUGGAAUAGAGGAAAGAUGGCAAUAAAGAUUACCUUUGACUUAGUGUGAUCAUGCUGCUCUUUUUCUGUUAUUUUGUACUCUUGCAUCAUCCAAACAAUUUUCUGUCCAGUAGGGGCUUGGGCUUCAAGAAAUU